UGGGGAAUUUUGGACAAUGGGCGCAAGCCUGAUCCAGCCAUUCCGCGUGCAGGACGAAGGCCUUCGGGUUGUAAACUGCUUUUGUACGGAACGAAAAGCCCUUCUCUAAUACAGAGGGGUCAUGACGGUACCGUAAGAAUAAGCACCGGCUAACUACGUGCCAGCAGCCGUGGUAAUACGUAUGGUGCAAGCGUUCAUCGUAAUUACUGGGCGUAAAGCGUUCGCAGGCGGUUUUGUAAGAUAGAGGUGAAAUCCCCGGGCUCAACCUGGGAACUGCCUUUGAGACUGCAAGGCUGGAGUGCGGCAGAGGGGAAUGGAAUUCCGCGUGUAGAAGUGAAAUGAGUAGAUAGGCGGAGGAACACCGAUGCCGAAGGCAAUGCCCGGGGCCUGCACUGACGCUCAUGCACAAAAGCAUGAGUAGCAAACA
rnacentral:rRNA from 1 species